UACAGAGGGGGCAAGCGUUGUUCGGAAUUACUGGGCGUAAAGGGCUCGUAGGCGGCCAACUAAGUCAGACGUGAAAUCCCUCAGCUUAACUGGGGAACUGCGUCUGAUACUGGAUGGCUUGGAUCCGGAAGAGGGAUGCGGAAUUCCAGGUGUAGCGGUGAAAUGCGUAGAUAUCUGGAGGAACACCGGUGGCGAAGGCGGCAUCCUGGGCCGGUAUUGACGCUGAGGAGCGAAAGCCAGGGAGCAAACGGG
rnacentral:rRNA from 1 species